rnacentral:misc_RNA from 1 species
CUGCCCUCAAGCACGGCUUGUGUGUUGGGCUUCGCCCCCCGGCUCCCGGGGGGCGGGCCCGAAAGGCAGCGGCGGCACCGCGUCCGGUCCUCGAGCGUAUGGGGCUUUGUCACCCGCUCUGUAGGCCCGGCCGGCGCCCGCCGGCGACCCCAAUCAAUCUUUCCAGG